rnacentral:rRNA from 1 species
GAUGAACGCUGGCGGCGUGCCUAAUACAUGCAAGUAGAACGCUGAAGGAAGGAGCUUGCUCUUUCCGGAUGAGUUGCGAACGGGUGAGUAACGCGUAGGUAACCUGCCUGGUAGCGGGUGAUAACUAUUGGAAACGAUAGCUAAUACCGCAUAACAGUAGAUGUUGCAUGAUAUCUACUUAAAAGGUGCAAUUGCACCACUACCAGAUGGACCUGCGUUGUAUUAGCUAGUUGGUGAGGUAACGGCUCACCAAGGCGACGAUACAUAGCCGACCUGAGAGGGUGAUCGGCCACACUGGGACUGAGACACGGCCCAGACUCCUACGGGAGGCAGCAGUAGGGAAUCUUCGGCAAUGGACGGAAGUCUGACCGAGCAACGCCGCGUGAGUGAAGAAGGUUGUCGGAUCGUAAAGCUCUGUUGUAAGAGAAGAACGAGUGUGAGAGUGGAAAGUUCACACUGUGACGGUAUCUUACCAGAAAGGGACGGCUAACUACGUG